UCUUUACUAGCUUAUAUUUGGUAGAGCGUCAGUCUGAAGCACUGGAGGAACUUUGUGUGGUAAGAG
rnacentral:tRNA from 1 species